rnacentral:sRNA from 1 species
GUUCAAGGGAGCAGACGCAUGGCUGCUGACCUCGGAGGUUCAGCAGAUUCUCCUCUCAGCACCUGGACCAGUGAUGGCAACUUUCGAGCUAACCUGUUGCCAACCCACACUUUCGAGCAUCUAAGAGCAUCUAACGGCCUCAUCAGAGACAGCCUCAGGGAGCUCCUCAGUAGGGCUCCUAACAGGUCUAAUCUAUGCAGCCAGAGAGAAAGCACAUGCAGCAGAAUGGACUGGCAAGAAUGGGGUUGUGAAGAAGGCCUUUCUAUGACUCUCACAAACUUUCUAAUAAGCAAGGGACUUCAAGAUGUGUUUUCAUUACGGCUAAGGAGCAAGUUACAGCUGAUAUCUUCGUCAAAGAAAGAGCGAUCUGCAAACUCUAUUAUUGUGUCUCUCUUUUGCUUUCUGCUUGCAAAGCAAAGAGAUUUUGUUUGGCCUUUGUUGUUUUUAAAGAAAACUCCUGUUUCAGUUAAUGCAACAUGUCAACAGGAAUUUGCAUUUCCAGGAGCAGGAGAGAUGACUGGAUG